rnacentral:rRNA from 1 species
UGGGAGAAUUGUGAACUAUGCACCCUCUGCAGAUGGGCAAACGAGAUGUCCGCACACUUCUUCCAUCGGUGCAGGUUCACCUUGCGCGUUUGGAGAUUGGUAAAGGUGUGGCUUGACCUAGGGGCUUUGGAGAUCCACCAAUGGCCAGCAGAGCGUAGUAUCAAGCAUUGGUGGACAAACAUGUCGAAACCCAACACGGUGAACCGGAAAGCAAUGGCUUCCCUUACUAUGCUUGUCGGUUGGGUUAUUUGGAACGAGACAAAUGCUAGAGUCUUCAGAAAGAAAUCAACUACGCCCUUCUACAUCCUCAAACUAAUACAAGAUGAAGCCAAACUUUGGUUCACGGCAGGAGCUAGGCACCUGAGCAUCAUCAUGCUGUGA